rnacentral:lncRNA from 1 species
GGGGGAACCAAACUUCAAACUUAGGAAGCCUGGCUCCAGACUCCGUAUCUGUCACCACUACAUUCCUGCUCCCUAGUAAAUAAAUCUCCCAGCAGAGCACAGUAAACAAAGUUAGUAGUCAAUAAAGACUGCUCUUCUCUCUCCCUUCUCUCCCCAGUUUAUAAGUAAAGGAACUAAAAGAAAAAAUUGAGCAACCUGCCAGAGAUCAAACUAGGGAGAGGAAAGCUGGACUCAAACCAGACUUCUAUUCAAGCAGACUCCUAGCCAGUCUCCUGGCCUCCACUCUGACCUAUUCAGCUCUAAAGGAAAUCACAGAGAACCUGGAAUGUCCACUACCUUUGAGAUCCGUUGACUCGUGAAUGGCACUAAUAGAAUUAAAAGAUGAGAGCAAGACCCCUCCCCCACUGAAGACUUCUACUCUGGGGACCGACUUGAAUCUCUGGUACCAACAUUCUUGUCUACAUUGUUGUUGCCUCUUACACCUGCCUGGAUAGAGAUCAUGAGACUGAGGCACCUAAAGAUCAAUGGUACCAGAAUUCAAAAUCAUGGCAAAGCCUACUGCAGGGCAUGAUGAUGAAUGGAAGAUGGAAAGAACAAGAGAAAGGGAGGCAGAGAGACUCAAGAGUCUAAAGUAGGAAAUUGAGUAACAGAGAAGCAACAAAUGGAAAUAUAUGGAACAACAGUUUACAAGACAAUGGGCAUCAGAGAAUGAUUCCUAAAGAUGGGAAACAAAUGAGGUGAAUCCUGUGAUUGUCCUGGCUAAUAACUGCCUCGAGAGAAAAUAGGUUACAGUACAGGGAGGGGAAACUCAGGCGGAGCACAAUGGACUCCCCGAUUUGAGGAAGUGAUGGUCUAGGAAGACAAAGACAACUAGAAUUUACAGGAUAGAAUCCAAGAUAGGCGAGAGAUACAUUGCUAGAGAACUCCAGUGUAUUCUCCUGUAGAUCAUUUUUUGGUGCCUUAUUGAAGAAAUCUUUGCCUAACUGAGGUCACAAAGAUUUCUCCUAUGUUUUCUUAAGGAAAUUAACUAGUUUUAAAUUUUACAAUUAAGUCUGUAAUCCAUUUUAAAUUAAGUAAUUGUGUGUGG